AGCGAACGCUGGCGGCAGGCCUAACACAUGCAAGUCGAACGAACUCUUCGGAGUUAGUGGCGGACGGGUGAGUAACACGUGGGAACGUGCCUUUUGGUUCGGAAUAACUCAGGGAAACUUGUGCUAAUACCGAAUGUGCCCUUCGGGGGAAAGAUUUAUCGCCAUUAGAGCGGCCCGCGUUAGAUUAGCUAGUUGGUGAG
rnacentral:rRNA from 1 species